CUCUAGCAAUUUACAGCUGUAAUAGGCACAUCAAUACUCAGACUUUUAACAAGUCCGUGAAGCCGUCCCUUUGACAUGUGAAAGACAUUCUAGUUACUCAGGGUCCGAAAGUUAAACAUGAAGACAGUGAAAGUGUAGUGUCGUCUUCCUCGGCGUCCUUAGUUACCGUGAUACUUGCUGCGUUAUCACUCAGAGGGGUUCCGAAGAGAGUUCGCGCAAUAUCGCCAAAUGAAGGAUAACGAUGAAUAAUUAAUGUCCAGCGUUAUAAUUCAGUAGCCCAGAGACAUAUUAUAUGUCAGAUAAAUGCAUGAUUAUCAGUCCAGCGGAGAAAUAGUGGUGCGAGAAUCAAAGUAGAAUUUUAUUUCAUAGUUGUGAUUUUUUUUACGAUACAAGAAUGGCUCCAGAUAUUCAAGAAAGGGGGAAAAGAAAAAGAGUGUUAAUUGGUGCAGAAUACACAAGUCCCUGGACCGGGGCAAUAUAGCCCUGAAAAUGUCAACGCUCAUUUAGAAGCUAGUCCAAGGUAUCAUAUAGGUGUUCGACACUCACAGUAUAUUAUGCCUACAUUACCGCUGGCAAAUGUAGACUAAGAAAAACUUGUUGGAGUAUUUCGUACGUAAAAUUAUUUAUUCAAAGCAAACAUAUUUAUGAUCUUCAUUUUUACAAACACAAUUUCACUCAAAUUUAAAAUCGUUUCAUUGUAGCGAGUAUUUUAGGUAACCUGAGCUACUGAGUUUACCUAUUGCCCCCCGGUCUUUGUCCGUCUUCGUACAUCGUCAGGUUCGUUAAACGAUUACCUUUUCAGUUUUUAAAAAAACAAUUAAAGCGAAUAUUACAAUCUUUGGUGUAAGUUUAUUUAGAAUAAAAUUGAAGUUAAUUGUUUGAAAAGCAUAGCUAACACAGGUACUCAUGCAAAACAAUGAUAAAUUUUACAAAUUCCCCAUCCCUACUCCUACACAGCUGGGAGAGAAAAACGAAUUCAUAGAUAGGGUGACCAUGAAGUUCAAAUACAAAAUUCAUGGCCCAGGCGACCAGCUUUGUAAGGUGGUGGGGCCAAAAUAGCAACACAGGUGAAAAUCUUUUUUUUUAACCGCAUUGUUAAUAUGUUCAUGAAGCUCUCUAAAAAUCAUCGACCCUGGGCACUCAAAGGUAAAGGCCUUGGGGGUGAAGGUUGUGGUCACAUACUGUUAAAAUGCUUUUUUUUCUUCUAUUCUACUGCUGUGGGAGAUAAUUCGAAUGCAUAAUUACGAUGUCCACGUAAUGUAUUUCCCUUGUGUCGGGAAUAGAGCUAUCAAACAAAUAAUGAAUUAUCUAAUGAUUUAAAUUUUAUCUUCCCUCCAAUUGUAAUUGAAUGAGAAUUUGAUUAUACUAAUUGUUUAUAUCAAAAUGUUUUGAACAAAAAAAUUCAAUAUUAAAUAUGGCUUUCAAAUGCAAAUAAAAGACCGGUACAUGUAUAUGUGUGGACCAUCUUUCUCAGAGUGACCGUUCAGGCAUGUGGACCUCUUGUUUAAUAUAUUCAGUUUUUAGUUUGUUUUUAUUUAUUUUAUCUGUAUUGUCUGAUUAUCUUGCACAAAGAAACACAUUUAAAAUAUACCGGUAUUUUAUUCAAUGGUGAGAGAUUGUGUUUUUAUUUGAUAAAUCAUUUACAACAAAUUCUCUUUUUUUCUCCCUCUCUGUUUGUUUAUUAUACGAUAUUGAUUCAAGGAAAUCUGUGAUAUGUUUGUUAAUUGAACAGGUAUUACUAAAAGAUUUACAUGAAAUUUACAUUUCAUUGUUUUAUGUGAAAUAAACUAUUGCGAC
rnacentral:misc_RNA from 1 species